AGGGCGCACGGUGGAUGCCUAGGCGAUGAGAGGCGAAGAAGGACGUGGACAGCUGCGAUAAGCUUCGGGGAGCCGCUAACAGGCUUUGAUCCGGAGAUCUCCGAAUGGGGCAACCCGCGCUGGGACAACCAGCCAUCCGGCACUGAAUACAUAGGUGCCCGGAAGCCAAGCCAGGGAACUGAAACAUCUAAGUACCUGGACGAAAGGAAAUCAAGAGAGACUCCCUCAGUAGUGGCGAGCGAACGGGGAUCAGCCUAAACCCGGCGACGAAAGUCGGCGGGGGUCGUGGGGCUGGCGAUAUGGGACCUUUGAACCUAGUUGAACGGCAUUGAAAGGCCGGCCAGAGACGGUGACAGCCCGGUAGACGAAAGGUGAGGAGGCCCUAGCCGGUACCCGAGUACCGCAGGGCACGAGCAACCCGGCGGGAAUCUGGGAGGACCAUCUUCCAAGGCUAAGUACUACUCAUCGACCGAUAGUGAACGAGUACCGCGAGGGAAAGGUGAAAAGAACCCCG
rnacentral:rRNA from 1 species